rnacentral:lncRNA from 1 species
AAAAAUUUUUAUUCUCCCUAGGGUGCUAGCUCUCUUGCAGAGAAUGCUUUCUUAAUGGUUGAAUAGAAUCUCCUUCAAUCUCCAAGACAACCUCAAGAAGGAAGAAGAAAGGAGGAAGAAGAGGAAGACAAGAGAGGAAGAACCCUUCUAUCUCCCUUUUCUCUCAAACACCUCAUGCCCAAGGGAAGUCAUGCCCCCUAUUUUUCCACACCCCAAAGCUCUCUAUUUUGUGUGUGAGGUUUGAUCCCAGGUCACUUAAUUCUAACAUCCCAUGACCCCUCCUUAAG